rnacentral:rRNA from 1 species
ACGUAGGGGGCUAGCGUUAUCCGGAAUUACUGGGCGUAAAGGGUGCGUAGGUGGUUUCUUAAGUCAGAGGUGAAAGGCUACGGCUCAACCGUAGUAAGCCUUUGAAACUGGGAAACUUGAGUGCAGGAGAGGAGAGUGGAAUUCCUAGUGUAGCGGUGAAAUGCGUAGAUAUUAGGAGGAACACCAGUUGCGAAGGCGACUCUCUGGACUGUAACUGACACUGAGGCACGAAAGCGUGGGGAGCAAACAG